rnacentral:tRNA from 1 species
GGCAUGUAGCUCAGUCGGUAGAGCACCGGAUUCUUAAUCCGGUUGUCGUGGGUUCGAAUCCCACCAUGCC